rnacentral:lncRNA from 1 species
CCCACAAAUAAGUUUCAUAAUUGUCCCACAAAUAUGUUCCAUAAUUCAUAUAACACUAUCAUACAAAAUAUACUGUUCCGAGGCAUGCUCAGACCAUCAAAGUAGACGUAAUAAAAUAUUAAAUCACAGCAUGUUGCAUCACGACUCCAAAUUCACAUCACAACGGUUCAAGGAUUAGUAGCAGCCGCAGGCAUGUCCUUCGCAACGAAAGGCAAAGUUGGCUUAGGGAAAUCGGGGAGAUGAGGCAAUUCGGGCACUUCCGGCAAUUCCGGCUUCGGUAUUGUUGGUAAUUCAGGCUUUGGCAGUUCCGGAAGUGGCGGCAAUUCAACUUUUGGCAGUGAUGGCAAUUCUGGCUUUGGCAGGCUUGGGAUGUCGGGAAGGUGUGGCAAUCCGGGCUUCGGCAGUUCGGGCACCUCGGGCAACGUCUCCUCCAAAAUUCGGCUAGCUCCAACCGAGUUCUCGCCGGUCAUCAAGGACAAAGCAAAGACAAACAAUGCCAAAAGAUGCACAAGUCCGCGAUAGUUCGCCAUCGCAGGACCGAUCGACAAGCAAAUUUAAAAACUUCAAGUGAAGAAUCGAUGGAUCUCAAAUGAGGAGGUGCAGGUGUGCUUGAGCAAUGGCUUGAUGGAGGGUUUAUAAAGAGGAGGGACGUGGGGAUUAGGGAGAUUACAAGUAUGGUUUGGUGGGACUUUGUCGAAGUGUUAGUUCAACUUCUAGACCAAUCUCAUUUUCGUAUGUUCAACAACAACAUGGAGCAGAUAAUUCCAGAAAGGACCUUGCCAAUUAUUGGCUUUCAACGCUUGUAACCAUCAGUCGUGCUGGUAUUAUAGCUUUUGUUUUGGUUUUCCUAUAAAUCGUUAAUUGGUAACCGUACUACAAUCAUGAACUACGAUCAUUGUAAAUGAUAUCCUAAAAAUGACCAUCCCGAUACACGCACAUAUAUAUAGCUGAUUUACAUAUGAAAUUAAAAACUGAGACUAGGUAAAACUAUCUAACGUCUUGAAAUAUCUUUUCCGCAAUUCAUCUCAUGUGAUGGAAUGAUAGCCAAGCUUGCAAGGUUUUUCAAUUAUUUGAUAAAUUUAAGACUAUGUUCUUUGACUAGUAGUACACGUGAUUGAUGAACGAAUAAAAGAUCAUCAAAUAUUUGAUAACCAACGCAAUACUACCAUAGAAGUCUCAAAACAUAUCUCAAAUAUGAUGUAAUCGUAUGCUUUUAUGGAGCAGAAUAUAAAGUAUAUAUGUAUCUAUUACGGACCAGUUUGAAAUUGGUCUACUAUAUUAUAAUGACAUUCGAAAAUUAAAUGAAAAACUACUUUUCUUACCGAAAUUGAAUCUUGAGAAUUUUUCAAGGAAACUAAAAAUAUAAAGAAAAUACUCAAAAAAUUCUUAACCGGAAUACAUAUGUGAAAAGUAAGUCCAUUCAAUUUAACGAGAAAGACUCUUUUCUUUUCCAAAUAGAUUGAUAAGACUUUUUGCGGAAAAUAACAAUUUAAAGGAAAGUAUCUUAAGUCUCAAUCUAAAUAUAUUUAGGUGAUACUGUGUAGUAUUACAUAUAGAAAGAAGUCUUUUUAUUUUUUUCAAGGAAAUUUUGAGAGAGAAGAUUAUUAAAGAUUAACAUGUAUAUCAAAUAUUAUAUAAUGUAAUAAGUAUUGAAAUUAACUUCAUGGGAAUGAGAAAAUGUUUUGAUUAUUAAUUUAAGUAAAAUUGACUCUAUGAGACUCGAUAUGUGAUGUGGUAUAAAAAAGAAAAAAAAUGUAAAUAUAUCUAUAUUUGAGAGAGAGAGAGAGAGAGAGAUAAACUUUUCACUCGAAUUAGAAGUUGGAGCUAAAUAGAUUGACAUUAGGCGAAACAAUAUAUCAAGAAUAGAAAAAAAAAAUGAUCUAUAACGGCAAAGUUGUCUAUACAAUACAAUGUAUGCCAUGUUAUAGAAAACAUCGAUAAUAUUUAACAUAUAUCGAUACUAUAACAUAGAGCUUAAAAUUACUUCAAUUCAAUUCAAUACAAAAUGAAAUAAAAACAAACAUCAGAGUUGAUAUUACUUAAUUGAAGAAUGAUGAUUGCUUGAAACAUGAAAAAAUAGUUGUGUCAAAUUAAAAGGGAAAAUACUCUAUGAUAAAUUCAAGGGAAAAUUCCAAAAAGGUACCCGAAAUACCCUAUUUUUUUCAAAUAAGAGCCUAAAGUGAAUCUUAUUUCAAAUAAGGACUGAAGUGCAUUUGUUUUCUCAAAUAAGGGUUUAAAGUGGAUGUUAUUUCAAAUGAGGACCUAAAGUAAUUAUGUUUAUUUCAAAUAAGAGCAUGAAGUGGCUAUAUCCGUUUGAAAUAAGAACCCGUCUUUCUAGCGAUCAAUGGUAUUUUCGUCAUUUGUCAUUUGUCCAUUUUUUUUUUUUUUUUUUCCAUUUUUUUGACUAGCUCUUGUUCCUCUUCGCCAAUGGCCAGCCGGCCAUUGGCAAUGCCCACAAAGGGCUGAGCAAGAGAGUGAGGGUCACCACACUCAAGCAAGGCUGUCCGUCACUUGUGGGCAGGGUGGGUGGCCCUUGCUGGUGGGGGCGACCCUCGCUUAGCCCUUUGUGGGCAUCACUGGCAAAAAGGAAGAAGAAUAACCAAAAGAAAAAAAGGAAAGAAAAAAAAAGUGAAAUGCAAAAUGACAAAAAUACCCUUGGCUGGUUGGAAAAUUUAGCCACUCAGCGAUCGGCGAGAUCAGGUCUUUAUUUGAAACAACCAAAGCCACUUCAGGCCCUUAUUUGAAACAACUAAGGCUACUUUAGGUUCUUAUUUGAAACAAAAUCCAUUCCGGGCCCUCAUUUGAGAAAACAAUAACACUUCGGGUCUUUUUUUGAAAUUUUCCCUAAAUUCAAUUGAAGUAAAUAAGAUGUUCAAUAAGUGGAUUUAUAAUUUAUAUGUAAGAUAAAUGAACCUAUAUCACUCGAUCCUAUAACAAACAUGUAAUUUUGCUUAUUUUUCCUUCAAAUAUUUAAAUUCUAUGAUAAGUUAAAUGUGUAUAAAGUAGAUAAUGAGUUUUAAUAAAUAUAAAUUUGAUAUAUUUUGAAAUAUAAAACACAUGAAGCAUCAGAAAGUGUACUAGUUGUUUAAGAAAGAGUAACUAUAGCAUACUCCGUCGGUGUAAAAGAAGAGUUACACAAGAUAUCAUAAACUAUCAUACGAAUAAGUUCCAUAAUUCAUAUCACAAACUGUCAUACAAACGACUAUAUAUGGCAUAUAACAUUCUGAGGUGAACACUGACCAUUACAAUAGAAGUAAUAGAAUACUAAUUCAUAUCAUAUCGAAUCCCGACUACAAGUUCACAUCACAACGGUUCAAGGACUAGUAGCAGCGAUAGACGUGUCCUUCGAAACGGCAGGCAAUGUUGGCUUAGGGAAAUCGGGAAGGUGAGGCAAUUCAGGCACUUCUGGCUUUGGUAAAGUUGGAAAUUCAAGCUUUGGAAGUUUGGGCACUUCCGGCAAUUCUGGCUUCGGUAUUGUUGGAAAUUCAGGCUUUGGCAGCUCGGGAAGUGGCGGCAAUUCGACUUUUGGCAGAGAUGGCAGUUCUGGUUUUGGCAGGCUUGGGAUAUCGGGAAGCUGAGGCAAUUCUGGCUUCGGCAGUUCAGGCACUUCAGGCAACGUCGCGUCCAAAAGUUGGCGAGCUCCAACGCGGUUCUGGCCGAUUGUCAAAGACAGAGCAAGGACAAACAAUGACAAAAGAUUAGUGAGUCUGCAAUAGUUCGCCAUCGUGGAAUUGAGCGACUAGCAAACCGAAAAACUUUGAGUGAAGAAGCGGUGUGUUUGAGCAAUGGCUUGAUGGAGGGUUUUUAAAGAGGAGGGACGUGGGGAUUGGGGAGAUUACAAGUAUGUUUUGGUGGGAAAAAUAAUCUAAGUGUUGGUUCAACUUCUAAACCAAUCUCAUUUUCUUUUGUUCAACAACAAGAUGGAGAAGACUCCAAAAAGUUAUCUUGCCACUUCUGGGCUUUCUAAGUCUGUAACUAUCAGCUGUGCUAGAUUUCUCAGCUACGCGGGAAAAAGAAACGAAAGGAGAUGGUUCAUGAUUUCACUCUAUGUACAAUAGUAGGACGAAGUCCGGAGUUUUGGUUGAAGAAGUCAAUAAUUUAAGGAUAAAAAUCUAAGUUUUGUUAGCGAUCAUUGUACAUGAAAUGCAUACUCAUCUAAAACUUGUCUAAAUUUAUUAAGUGCAUUUAAUAAAUUCAUUAACCUUCUCUUAAGUUUUCCGUUCCCUUUCUCUAUUAUAUCCAUUCACGUGCACUCAAUACUUUUCAAUUUCAAUUUUUAUGUAUCCAUUUGCAUGCUAGAGUUAAGGACGAUGGUCACUUACAUUCAAUUUGUUUGUUUUUUUUUUUUUUUGGGGGUAUGCCUGGCCUUUUUUUCACCUAUAAGAGGGUAGAAUAUUUGUUAUUCUGGUCUUUAUGUGCAUUUCAUCUCCUUUUUUUCUCCUCAGAAAUGGGUCUUAGUUGCAAAAUUAAUUCAUCAGAAAUCGAUUUUUCUUUUUCCAAUUUGAUCUUGACUUGCUAUUGAAUGGAUAAUCGGUUAUCAUCACUCCCAAUUAGAUUAGAAAUAUGACUACAUCUCAAUAUAUCAAUUUACAUCCGAACUGUAAAAAAUGAGACUCGGCAAUAAUCUAUUUCUUAUGUAUGGAUCAUCUUUCUUACCGGUAUCUCGAAAAGCAAAUGAUUUUUUUUUUUGGCAUAAACAUUUUUGUUGAGUGUCUUAAAAAAUUAACUACAUUUAAAAAUGCAAAAAUACAAAGAGAUAAGAGGAAUGGUGAGGGAUUUUGAUUUCACAUGAAUUAGCAAAAACGAUUGAGAAUUUAUGAGCUGAAACUUAUUGAGAACUUAUGGGCUAAAACUUUCUUCUAUGCAAUCCAUCUUAAAUGACAAUAUAAUAGCCAACCUGGCAAGGCUUUUUUUUCUUUUUUAAACUAUUUAUGAAUUUUAUAUUAUGCUUUCCAGAUAGUAGUGUACGUAAUUGAUGAACAAACAAAAGAUCAAAAAAAUAUUUAAUAACCGACUUAAUACUACCAUAGAAGUUUCAACACAUAUCACAAAUAUGAUAUAACCAUAUUCUUGCAUGUGGUAGCUUAUUAACUAUAAAUGUAUCUAUAACACACGGGUUUGAAAACUAGUCUAAUAUAUAAUAGGGGCUUCUGAACAUUAAAUGCAUUCAAUUUAAUGAGAAACAUUCUUUUCUUAUCCAAAAUGAAGUUUUAGAUUUUUUUUUUCCCUUGACAUAGAAUUAGUCGCAGAAAAGAGUGGGAAUAUGCGAAACAAGAUCCAAGAAUAGAAAAAAAAAUGAUUUAAUAACAGUAAAGUUGACUAUGAUCUGCAUAAUAUAUUAUUUGAUAGAAAAAGUACAUAAUGACUAACAUGCAUCAACACCAUAACAUAUAGCGAAAUAUUACUUUGGUUUAAUCAGAUACAAAAUUUAGUAAAGUACAAAUAUUAGAGUUGAUUUUGCUUGACCAAAGAAUGACGAUUGCUUAAAAAUGACAAUAUUUGUGCCAAAUUAAAAGGAAAAAUAAUCUACGGUAGUUCAAUUUUAAUAAAGUAUGAUAUAUAAGAUGUUUGAUGACUUAAAGUGUAUUUAUAAUUUGUAUGUAAGACAAGUGUACCUAUCUCAAUCCAUCAUACAAUAAAAGACGCAUUUUUCUGAUUUUUUCUUCAAUUGUUUAGAUUAUGUCACCGUUAUCACUCUAAAAUUUUAAAUUCCCAUAUUAGUUAGAAGUGAAAAAAGUGGACAAGGAAGUAACAUAGAUUUCUUCUAUUUUGAAAUAUUAAACUCGUACAGAACAUAAGGGAGUGCACUAGCUAUAUUAAAAAGAGUAAUAAUAGUAUACACUAUCGAUGUAAAAAGAUAGUUACACAAAACAUCACAAACUGUGAAGGAGUUCCAUAAUUCAUAUCACUAAAACAAGUAUUGUAUAGUGUUCUGAGGUAUGCUCAGACCAUUAAAAUAGAAGUAAUAAAAAACUGAAUCGCAUCAUGUUGUAUAACGACUCCAAAUUCACAUUAAUGGCUCAAGGGCUAGUAGCAGCGACGGCUGUGUCCUUGGGAAUCGUGGGAACGAAAGGCAAUGUUGGCUUGGGAAAAUCAGGAAGAUGAGUCACUUCGGGCACUACCGGCAAUUCCGGCUUUGGUAUUGUUGGAAAUUCGGGCUUUGGUAGCUCAGGAAGCGGCGGCAAUUCGACUUUCGGCAGUGACGGGAAUUCUGUCUUUGGCAAGCUAGGGAUGUCAGGAAGUUGAGGUAAUUCGGGCUUCGGCAAUUCCGGCACUUCUAAGGACUCCGGCUUCGGUGUUGCUGGAAAUUCAGGCUUUGGUAGUUCAGGAAGCGGUGGCAAUUCGACUUUCGGCAAUGAUGGGAAUUCUGGCUUUGGCAAGCUAGGGAUGUCAGGAAGGUGAGGCAAUUCAGGCUUCGGUAGUUCGGGCACUUCGGGCAAGGUCGCCUCCAAAAGUCGGCGGGCUCCAACUGGCUUCUCACCAAUCAUCAAAGACAGAGCGAGGACAAACAAUGCCAAAAGGUGCGCGAGUCCAUGAUGGUUCGUCAUUGGAGAAUCAAUCGACUAGCAAAUUCAAAAGCUUUGAGUGAAGAAGCGGCGAAUCUCGAGUGAGAGAAGGUGCAGGUGUGCUUGAGCAAUGGCUUGAUGGAGGGCUUAUAAGGAGGAGGGACGUGGAGGAUUGGGGAGAAUGCAAGUAUGGUUUGGUGGGAAUAUUAUCAAAGGGUUAGGUCAACUUCUAAACCAAUCUCAUUUUUGUACGUUCAACAGCAAGAUAGAGCAUAUUAUUCCAAAAGGAGCUUGCCAAUUCUUGGCUUUUCAGGCUUCUGACUACCUGUUGAGGUGAGAAAGAGGGAGAGAAAAGAAAAGAAAAGAAAUGGUUUAUGAUCUCACUAUGUACAACAGGACUGGAGUCUUGGAGUCUUAAAAUAUUGGAGAAGCCAAUAAUGUAAGAGCAAAAUAAUAAAUAUUGUCAGUGAUCAUUAUUCAUGGAAUCUUUACUUGAUGCAAGGAUUACUCAAGUUUUAAGCAUGUAUGUUUUCUUUUGAGGCCUUGGUUCAAAUCCCUACAAUUGUGCAUUAUUUUCGAUGAUCUUUGAGAACAUAGGCAUGUAUGAAUCCGAUUAUCUCUCUAAUUGUGUGGGAUAAAACUACUCUUGCUGGAAAAAACAAAACUUUAGGUGACAACUUUUUGGGGACAGACAUAAAAGGAGAUCCUUAAAUAGAGUUUCUAGUUAGGGGUGAGUAGUUCUAAGGAUGGUUUAGGUUUCAACUUUCUUGGAACUUGAAAUUUACCUUAUUAAGACCGGUUUCCCAGUUUUUGAAACUUAAAACCUAUCAUGUAUAUCUUAAAAUUUGUGACCUGCUCUAUCAAUCGAAUCCAAAGUCUAUUAAGGAACCGGCUGAUUUCUCUUUUCUUUUCUUUUUCUUUUUUUUUUCUUGUUUCAUUUUAGUCAGCAAUAGAGAGAACAUAACAACAAAAAUCAUCAUUUGUCAAUAACAAUGAUCUAUAAAAUAUUAGCACCUAAAAUAAAAUAAACAAUAAAAAGUUGAAAACGCAUAAUGUAGAAUCCAAAUUUCAUGCUCUCAAAGGAGUCAAGAACCAUGAUAAAAACCAAGGAUUCGAAUGAAGGAACCUUUUUUUUCAUUUGAGCCUCGUGUAAUACCGUUCAUGUCAUGCUCUAUUUUAGGAUUACCUUGGUUCUUGUUCUAGUUCUUUGAUUUUCAGUCUGAUUCGUCGAUUCUUAGUUCAAUUCUAUUCAAUUCUUAAGAAUCGCAUAGAACAAGUUCCAAAAAAUGUGAAACCGAAAUUUGGAGCAUGCCCUUUAGAACCUAGAGACAGGUCGAUUCCCAUGACCUGUUUGGUCUUUCUUGAUUAUACUUGGGAAAUUUGCUCACCCCCAACUUCUUGUUCCGUCCCUACGGAAAUAUUGAAUGAGCCGUCGUUAAUGGUAAUAGUGUAAAUGAUUUAGUUUGGUUCGGUUUUUUGGGAAAACGGAACCAAACCGAACCGAUAAAGAAAUUUAUUGAAUCAAACUGAAAUUCCAUCCAAAUCGAAACCGAAUCGUCAAUGACAAAGCAAGGACAAAUAAUGCCAAAAGAUGCGAGAGCCCGCAGUAGUUCGCCAUCGUAGAACCAAUAUACUAGCAAAUUGAAAAACUUCGAGUGAAGAAGUGGAGGAUGUCAAGUGUAAAGGUGCAGGUGUGUUCGAGCAAUGGCUUGAUGGAGGGUUUUUAAAGAGGGACAUGGGGAUUGGGGAGAUUGCAAGUAUGUUUUGGAGGGAAAAUUAUCGAAGUGUUCGUUGAACUUCCAAACCAAUCUCAAUCUCUUUUGUUCAACAACAAGAUGGAGCCGAUAAUUCCAAAAAGGAUCUUUAUAUUCUUGGCAUUUUUAAGCUUGUAACUGCGAGUUGUGUUGGACUUCCUAGCUAGGAGGGAAAGACAAAAGAAAGGAAAUGAUUUAUGAUCUCACUCUAUGUACAAGAGGACGAAGUCCAUAGCUUUGGUCAGAGAAGUCAACAAUGUUGAGAGUAAAAUCUAAGUUUUGCCAAUGAUAAUUAUACACGAAAAGUAUUCUUGAUGUAAGGAUUGCUUAAGUGGUAGGCAUAUUCCUUCUCUUUCUCUGAUAAUUUCAUAAACCUAUGUAUCUGGUAAUUUCUUGAUAUGCGUGGGACAAGGCGGCAGCCACUGUUAAGGCUACCAUUUUGGGCCUCAAUAGAGAAGCUUAUGGUCAAGUUGAGGGUAAGGCCACCACCUUCGGAGGGAGUUGGUGGCGUACAAGCCGACUUCGGAGGAGAUGCUAAUUGCUUCCUGAAAAAGUGAGGGUUUAAGAUCCAUGAAAUUGCGAAGUUAAGAAGGAGAAGACUAAGUGGUAAAGAGAUUGAAGAACUGCCACCCUCGGAUGAAACUAAUGAUCGAAUGAAACAAUUCAAUUGGGUAAGCGUAGGACUCUGAGUCGAGAGCACCAAAGACAUCAAUCAAUUGGAUGGGGGAGAAUAUCAUGGACCGGAGGUUCUCAAGGUGCAAUAGGCUGAGGCGGUGGCCAUGUGACCGGGGGUGCCUUAGAUUUAGAGAAGCCUUGUCAUUAAUGGAGGUAUGUGGUAAAUGAAGAGAUAUAUAACUUUUUGUAUAUCUCCACUUUUUUCAUCCUAGGAAAAAUAGGUAUUCAUUACUCUGGUCUUUAUGUGUAUUUAAUUCUCUCUUUUCCUCUUCCCCUCAAAAAGGGCGGUCCUAGGGGCGCAAUCAAUUCGGGAGAAAUUAGUUUUUCUUUUCUUUAUUUGAUCUUGACCUGCAGUUGGAUGAAUAUUUGGUUAUUAUCCUUCUAAAUAAUAUGCUGAAUAUUACUAUAUCUCAAUAAAUAUAAACGCUGAUUCACAAUGAAAAAAAAUAAGAAUUGGUGAUCAUCUAUUCCUUAUGUAUGGAUCAUCCUUCUUAUCAGUAUCUAGGAAAGCAAUUGUUUUUUUUUUCUGGCAGAUAAUUUUUUUAUUAAUUCAAAUUCAUAUAUAUAUAUAUAUAUAUAUAUAUAUAUAUAUAUAUAUAUUUUGAGCAAGUCAAAUUCAUAUCUGUUAAGUGACAGCAAAAGUUAACUAUACUUCAAACAGAAAUACAUCGAGCCAAACGAAAAAUUGGUGAGGGAUUCUUUAUUUAUAAGAAGUAGCAAAACUGAUUUAGAUCUUAUGUCCUGAAAUUAUCUUUUGUGAUCCGUCUCAUCUUAUAACAUAAUGUUCAAGCUCGCAAGGUUUUUCACAGUUCGGGUAUUGGUGUCCCCGUAGGCUUAUACAAGGUUUUUUUUUGUAAUAGUAAGCUUAUGGAAAUAUAUAUAUAUAUAUAUAUAUAUAUAUAUAUAUGUAACUAUAUUUGUACAAUAAGGAGAGAAAUUGACUUUUUCGCUUGAAAUAGAAAGUGUAACAGAAUAGACUAACAAUAUGCGAACUGGUCAAUAUCAUGAAAAACUAUAAACUGAUACAUUUGUGAUAAGUUUACUUCUAUCUAAUUAUUUGGCCACAAAAAACUCCAACCAAUACACUUAUGACAAAUUUACCUAAAAUUAAUAUUUUGACCAUGAAAACAUUUAAAUUGGUACACCUAAAAUAAAUUUACCAAAAACUAAUUUUUUGACCACUAAAAAUCUCAAAUUGAUAUACACCUAACAAAUUUACCCAAACUAGUUUUUUGACCACUAAAAAACCCCAAAGUGGUAUAUAUAAGGCAAAUUUCUUCUAUAUUAGCUUUUCUUAAACUGGAUUAACACCAUGACAAACCACAAACUAAAACAGACCGGGGGGGGGGGGUAAUAUCCCAAACUAAUAUUUUUUUCAACCAUCACGUAUCAUCUAACUUAGUAAUUUAAUAGUGAAAUUUAAAAUAAAAUAAUGGAUGGUAAAUUUGUUAUAAGUAUAUUAGUUAUGGUUUUAGUUUGGGAUAAAUUUAUCACAUGUGUACUAGUUUGGGGUUUUUAGUGAUAAAAAAAUUAGUUAAGGAUAAAUUUAUCAAAAGUGUAUCAGUUUAGUGUUUUUAAUGUACCCGUUUGGAGUUUCUAUUCUUGAGAAUAGGAAAAUAGAAAAAAAAAGAAAGAUCUAUCAAUAAAAUUGACUAUACCAUAUACAAUAUAUUAUGUGAUAGGGAACACGUAUAUAUUAAUUAACACUCGUCAAUACUUUAAUAUAUAGCGUAUAAUUACUUUGGUUCAAUCCAAUAUGAAUUGCAGUGAAUAAUUUUUUUUAUUUAUUACCUAAUUAAAGAAUGAUGAUUGGUUGGAAAACGACAACAUAGUCAUGUCAAUUUUAGAAAUAUAUAUAACUCAUGAUGAAUUCAUUUUAAGUAUACAUAUAAGACAAACGAACCUCCAUUGUUACGAACGGUUGAUAUAUUGAAAAAUCUCAAACUAGUACACAUGUGAUAAAUUUAUCUUAAACUAAUUUUUUGACCAUGAAAAACCCCAAAUUGGUACACCCGUGAUAAAUUUACCCCGACUGAUCAUAAAAAAAAAAAAAAUCUCAAAUUAGUACAUUUGUAAUAGAUUUAUCCCAAACUAAUUUAUUCGAUCGCCAAAAAACCCAAAUCGGUACAUUUGUGACAAAUAUACCCUCUAUUAAGUUAGAUUAAUAUCAUAAAAAAAUCACAAAAAUUGUAUGAUGGUAACAAAUGGAGAAUAAAAUCUCAAAUUGGUAUACCAGUAAAUUGCCGCAUGUCAUUCAAUUUAGUAAUUUGAUAGUAAAAUUUAACGGAAACAAAUAGAGAGUAAAUUUAUCACAAAUAUACUAGAUUUGGGUAUAUUUGUUAAAGGUAUACCGGUUUAGGAUUUUUGCUAAAAAAAUUAGUUUGUGGUAAAUUUGUUACGACUGUACCAGUUUGGGGUUUUUCAAGAUAUUAACCCAAUAAUGAAUGACGCAUUUUAUUUUUCUUGAUUUUUUCUUUGAUUAUUUGAAUUUCAUAAGUAUUGUCAUUACUAGAACUCAUAUAAAUUAAAUUUUCAUAUUAGUUAUAUGUGAAACAAGAUAAGGAGUUUCAGCAAACAUGAGUUUCAACAAAUUUGGAAAUAUAGAACUCAUGUGAAGCAUGCUCGAGUGCACUAGGUAUUUAAGAAAGAGUAAUUAUAGCAACUCCGUCGGAUGUAAUAGUUAAGUUACUCAAGAUAUCACAAAUUGUCCCACAAAUAAGUUUCAUAAUUGUCCCACAAAUAUGUUCCAUAAUUCAUAUAACACUAUCAUACAAAAUAUACUGUUCCGAGGCAUGCUCAGACCAUCAAAGUAGACGUAAUAAAAUAUUAAAUAACAGCAUGUUGCAUCACGACUCCAAAUUCACAUCACAACGGUUCAAGGAUUAGUAGCAGCCGCAGGCAUGUCCUUCGCAACGAAAGGCAAAGUUGGCUUAGGGAAAUCGGGGAGAUGAG